rnacentral:lncRNA from 1 species
CAUAAGAUAAAAUAUUAUUACACAAAAUGUUAAUACCAGACGUAUUAUCAUUUUAAAAACAUAAAACUUGUAAUUCCUUUAUGAAUCUAAUAUUUACAUUGUCUGCUCUCAAUAGUUACUAAUUAUUUGAUUUUAAACUGCAAAACCUAGAACAAAUAUUUGAUAAAAGAACAAAAAACAUACACAAUUGUGUUUGUUCGCAUAAUAUGAUAACAUAUUUCAUUUUUUUGAUGUUCCAAUGAUUUUGUGUUCUUUUGUAAAGAGAGUAUUAACUGCUUCGUACGAAAUUCCCGUCCCUCCAUCACCAAUUAUAAACAGAUAGGGAGCUUCUUUAAAAGCAGUGGAGUACUACUACCAUCACUUUGACGUCUUCAGAGAAUAUUUUAACAGCUUUGAUGAAGAUUUGGCAUCAACCAGAAGAGCACAAGAAGUAAUUAAUAAUGAUUCCUUAAGAGAAGAAGUCGUAUUUAUGCAGGAAAUUUUUCGUCAUAUACCUUUGGCUAUAACUGUACUUGAGAAAAGAUUGCCUAACCAUAGUAAAAAACCUGACUCAAGAUUUGAAGGAAGAUCCAUUCAAGACAAAGUUAAAAGAAUCCUGGCUAUACAAAACUAAAGGAACUCUGAACAAGUGAAAACCUUGUAUACAAAAAUAUUCCAAUUGUCAAUUGUGAUGCUGACAGAGUCUUUAGUAUGAUGAAUAUCAUCAAUACGAAAAGGAGGUCCAAACUAAGUAAUAAGAAAUGUAGGAAAUUGUUGAUCGCAUUUAAUUGUCAGACCAUUUCGUACCAAAGUUAUCUAUUCAUCCUUUAUGGGCAGUGGUCACUCAGAAGUUACGAGUACACUUCCUGUAAUGAUGGGGUUGAUGUUCUCUAACUAACAAUAUAUUUUGUCUUGCAUAAAUUUACAGAAUAUAAUAUACAUUUAUAAAGUUA